rnacentral:lncRNA from 1 species
AGCCGGAUGCCUUACUUACAGAAGCAGACAAGUCCGCGUAACCACUAGGCUGUUAACUUGACUUUCUCCAAUUCCGUAGGUUGCGUAGCAAGUAUCACAACACUUUAGGACUUGGUGUAGGUUGUUCCACGCUUGGCAGAGGUGAAGCUUAUCGACUAUGUAGCAUGUCGGCAGUGGAUAAAACUUCGUAUAUGCGUGCUAGCUUGUUUAACCUUUCACAAGAAUGUGCGGUUGUAAAAGUCUAGUACGGCUUUACUGCUCGAAGGGCAAGCCGUAGGCAGUCUUCCGGAAUCCGUAGGCUACCUUAGUGCACUCGGUAGCAGCUUUAGGGUUCCAGGGCAGCCGUCUGUAGGGCGUACUGCAUAAUGUGCCCCCUCCGUAUCUAGGGCCCGGUUUCCCACGGAUUAGGCCAAGAGACCCAAAAUCCUUCAGUUAGCUAAGCCUUGAAAAAGACCAUUGUGGCUACUUCUAGGAAUCCCGGUGCAAGCCAUCGUGCAUCUAGUUAU